GUGGGGAAUAUUGCGCAAUGGGGGCAACCCUGACGCAGCAAUACCGCGUGAGUGAAGAAGGUUUUCGGAUCGUAAAGCUCUGUUAUUGGGGAAGAAAAAAGACGGUACCCAAGAAGAAAGUCCCGGCUAACUACGUGCCAGCAGCCGCGGUAAUACGUAGGGGACAAGCGUUGUCCGGAUUUACUGGGCGUAAAGGGCACGCAGGCGGUUUUUUAAGUCAGAUGUGAAAGGUACCGGCUCAACCGGUGACAUGCAUUUGAAACUGAAAGACUUGAGUAUUGGAGAGGCAAGUGGAAUUCCUAGUGUAGCGGUGAAAUGCGUAGAUAUUAGGAGGAACACCGGUGGCGAAGGCGGCUUGCUGGACAAAUACUGACGCUGAGGUGCGAAAGCGUGGGGAGCAAACAGGAUUAGAAACCCUGGUAGUCC
rnacentral:rRNA from 1 species